CAAAGAGAACUACCAAGGGAAAGUUCCGGAGUGUGAUGAUUCCUAGGGCAGAAUUGCACCGUGCACAACCCAACCCACUGGUCUUUCAACUUGAUGGACACGAGCCCUUCCUUCCUGUGAGCAGGGACCUACCCGGAGAUGGCUCAGAUUGGGGCUGUCAAGCCCUGCUCGGACUCAGCCACGUCCCUCACCAUUCCCCGGCUCAGGGCCGCGCCCCGCUCUGGGUCAGAAAGGUGAGGAAGCGCGGACUGUUCGCAGCUGCCGAGAUUCGUGCUGCUUGGAGACCACCCCGAGAGGAGUGUUGGUGCCAACUCCCUGUUUGCUGCUGCUGAAGUUCCUGCAGGUACUUAACUGGGUCUUUCCGGGUGUUUCCUGGACCCAGUGAGCCAGAGCUCCCCAAUCCUGUGCGUGACAGACAGCCAUGGAAAACAGAGAAAGAUGAACAGCCUUCCAGAGAAGGCGUUCUACAGAAGCACCCUUCCCUGCUCUCCUGAGUGCCCAACGCCCCACUGAGGCCGCGCUUCUCCCCGGCCGGCAUCCCUAGGAGUUCCGCAGGCGCAGGGAGCAGGACAAAGUGUGCUCACCCCUUUUCCAAGGCAAAAGUCAGAAUUCUCGGGGCGCCUGGGUGGCUCAGUGGGUUAAAGCCUCUGCCUUCGCUCGGGUCAUGAUCUCAGGGUCCUGGGAUCGAGCCCUGCAUCGGGCCCUCUGCUCAGCAGGGAGCCUGCUUUCCUUCCUCUCUCUGCCUGCCUCUCUGCCUACUUGUGAUCUCUGUCAAAUAAAUAAAAUCUUAAAAAAAAAAAAAAAGUCAGAAUUCUCAAGCUUGGCUCUUGCUGUCAGCAUCUCUCCCUCUGUUGCUGCUGUGCCCCGGGGAGGCGGUGGCAGGGUCUACCGUCACCUGAGGAUCCUGUUAUAGGAGGAUUUGCAGCACGUCACUGCAGGGAGACUGAGGCAGAGAGAGUUCUGGCCAACGUCAAGGCCAACGCCAACAUGAGAGCGUGGGAGGGGCUUUCACCGCUGAGUGUGCAAUAAGGAAGGAGGUGAGAUCCCCUGAUGGACUGACUUUAUUUUGCUGCUUGGUGAUAAGCAUCGAAAGGCUGCAUUCAGCUGAACCUGCACAUACCAGGCCAAUCGAAUUCUCCUCAGUAGUAGCUGCUACCCAAGGAGCUUUUUCUCAAAACGCUGGGAAUUUCCUUUCCCUGAUAGAUAAGUAGGUGUCCUUAGAGAGGGUUUGGCAUAUGGAUUUAAAUGCUGGUGCCUGGGCUCAGAGCCAGAGGCCAUUAAGCAGAUACUGCUGAUUCCUCAUUGGGGGUGGGACAAAGCUUUUAAGGUGAGCUACGGAGACAGUCCUCAAGAUUUCAGGCAAGGAUAUUGUGGGGUUUAUUUUUCCUGUUUGGUUAGGGCAGGAAUGGUUUACAGCCCAUGAAACAGAUGCCAGAGAUGUCACUCACCUCCACGUUGCAGGUCCCAGCUUUGGUCCUAGUUCUUGGGCAGUGGGGCACCUACUUUUUUUUUCUUUCACUGAAAUAUGUCCUCUGCUGGGUUCUCUUUCUUUGUCAGUGUGCACAUACAACUUGUGAUGGUUAAUUUGAUGUGUCAGCAUGAAAGUUGUUUUUGGUUGAGAUUAAUAUGAGGUGGACGAACUUGGAGUAAAGCAGAUUGUGGGUGGGCCUCAUCCAAUCAGUUGAUGGCCUGACUAGAACAAAAAGACUGGUCUCCCUAAGCAGGAAGAAACACUGGAGCAGACAGCCUUCAGACUAUGUCUGCACCACGGGCCCUCUUGUCUCCCACCUUCUGACCCACACUGCAGACUUGGACUUGUCAACUUCCAGAAUCACGUGAAAGAACUUACAAGUCUCUUUCUCUGGGGUCGCCUGGGUGGCUCCAUCAGUUAAGUGUCUGCCUUCAGCUCAGGUCAUGAUCCCGGGGUCCUGGGGUCACGUCCCACAUCGGGCUCCCUGUUUGUCAGGGAAACCGCUUCUCCCUCUGCCCUGCUUGUGCUCUUACUCUCUCGCUCUCUGUCAAAUAAAUAAACAAAAUCUUUAAAAAAUUCCUUUCUCUCUAUAUAUUCUACAUAUAUCCUGUUGGUUCUGUUUCUCUGGAGACCCCCGAUGGAUACACAAGUGUUCCCAAACACUCAAGUACUUCUGGAAACAUCGUCUACUAAAUGCAAUGCUAAGUUUAAAAAAAAAAAAAAAGUAUUUGCUGAAUGUUAGAAUUUCAUUUUAAAGAUUGUUGUGUUUUUAAGUUGAUAAUCUCAUGUCUUCCUAAUGAUCGGUAGUUUUAUUUUUUAAGUUCUGCAUUGCUCUCAUUGGCCAAUAAAUACUACAGUGUUUCUGAGUCUAUAAGAAA